rnacentral:rRNA from 1 species
CCCUUAGAUGUCCUGGGCCGCACGCGUGCUACACUGACGCCUACAGCGAGUACUUCCCAGCCCCGAGAGGUGGCUGGUAAUCAGCAAUAGGCGUCGUGAUGGGGAUAGAUCUUUGGAAUUAUGGAUCUUGAACGAGGAAUGCCUAGUAAGCGCAGGUCAUUAGCCUGCGCUGAUUAAGUCCCUGCCCUUUGUACACACCGCCCGUCGCUCCUACCGAUUUCGAGUGGUCCGGUGAAUCUUUCGGACUGUGCGCGGCCUCGUGCCGUGUCGCGGAAAGUCAGGUAAACCUUAUCACUUAGAGGAAGGAGAAGUCGUAACA